UCAAAUAUUAUUAUUUUCUGCCUAAUUUUAUUUUUUUACCAUCAUCUUAGAGUACCACGUCAUAAUUACAAAUUCAUUAAAUUAUAAAAAAAAAACAAAAAAAAAUAAACAAUUGGGGUGUUAACCCAAUAACAAAAGGGAAACUUAUGGAAUAUUAUAGAAGGUGUUUGUGUACUUUUUUAUGAAUGGUAAAAAUACAUAAUUAUGUAAGCACAUAAUCUUUUUGGGUGAUCAUUAGUCUGCAUUUACAUAUUUUGCUCACACACUUUCGUAUUUGAGGAGGAUGACAUAUUUUAUGUACACAAUCUGCAUCGUGAAAGCAUCUGAUAAUUGCUGUUGUAAUGAAGAAGGAGAAUAAGAUAAUGUAACGAAAAUACAAUAAAAUAUUGUGUUAAAAAGGAAAUUUGAAAACGAUAAAUCAGCUUACCUUCAAUAUUGGUUGCAAAGAGAAUUAGAGAAGGAAAGAUAAUAAUAACAUAAACAUACUUGACAAUUUCAGCCAUAUUCACCCCUCUUUUCAUAUA
rnacentral:lncRNA from 1 species